AAAUAAUCGGAAUCAGAUUCAGAUUCAUAUGCAUUUUACUCAUCAUCCUCAUCAAAGUUCAAAAUCAUCAUCAUCUUCUUCUUCAUCAUCAAAGUCCCUAUCAUCAUCAUACAAAAUAUUAUCCUCAUCCCAGAGUGGGCAAUGACAUGUUGCCUUUUUCUCCUUCCAUUCAGCUCCACAAUUAUAGCAAAACUCAUACCCACAUCUGCAAGUCAUGUGAUAACAACCUUCAGACAGUUCAAUCAUAUGAUUGCAUUUCACACACUGGCGCCACAGAUUCCUUGUAGCAAGAGACUUCAGUUUCACAUCUUCUGCAGGUGGGUUAGGAUGCAACAUUUUGUAAAUGGUACAAGUCAUGAUGCUAUGCCAGGGGACCUUGCAAUUAAUACAAAAAAGGCCAUGGCACUUCAAGCAUUUCCGAGCACCUGAACGUCCAAAACCACCAAAUGCAUUUUCAGCAAAUUCAGAAAUCUCAUUUUUUGACAUUAGUGCUGAGCAUUUGGGAUAUGGGCAAUAAAUUUGCUCUGUAACAGGAAUCGAAGCUUCUUUUAUCCUUUGGUUCAUUGUCUCAAUUAAUUUGGAAGUCAAAGAACUUCCCACAGCUGUCAACACUGAGCUCUGACUUGCAGCCUUCAUGAGGACAUUNUAGGUACCAAGCCAUGAAGCAACUUCACCUCCACAUGCUGUUUCAUACAAGAAAAGCAGUAUCGAUGUCCACAUCCAUCAACUGAAAAUAUGUGCUCAGCAUCUGUAUCUUCUAAACAGAUAACACAGAUAACACAAGUCUCCUGAAGAGUCUCGCCACAGCUUGAUUCUGCAGGAAUUGUGACCUGAGAAACUAUUGCAUCUCUUGCAAGUUUAAAAGCAUAUUUGACAUCAUUGCGUGCCACAAGAGUGGGAUUGCAAUAUGUAAAUUUUUGUNNNNNNNNNNNNNGUAGCAAUCUUGCGCUGCUUUGGUGGCCAUCUUCCAAUAACAAAUUGAUAAAGCGGAUAAUAAUCACAAGAAACCACAAUCCUCUUGAGCUCCAGAGCAAGAGCCGCGUUGAGCCCUUCAAUUAAAGCCUUAGCCUCUGCAGCCUGCCUGCUCAUUCCAUUCCCAAUCAAUGGCUUCCUUAUCUCGAACACCAAAUUAUCUUCUGGGUCACAAAUUGCUACACCAAUCCCAGCCAAAAUUAC
rnacentral:misc_RNA from 1 species